UUUCCGUAGGUGAACCUGCGGAAGGAUCAUUACUGAGUGAGGGCCCCUCGGGGUCCAACCUCCCACCCGUGUUUAACGAACCUUGUUGCUUCGGCGGGCCCGCCUCACGGCCGCCGGGGGGCAUCUGCCCCCGGGCCCGCGCCCGCCGAAGCCACCUGUGAACGCUGUCUGAAGUAUGCAGUCUGAGACAAUUAUUAAAUUAAUUAAAACUUUCAACAACGGAUCUCUUGGUUCCC
rnacentral:misc_RNA from 1 species